GAUCACUUUGAAUGAUUCUAGCAAUUGCUUCGGCAAAGUAUAUGUCGACAAUUGUAGUCUUUCAGUCAUAUGAUUCUCCACAAUCAAUAUAGUUUAUGGAAAUUUCUUGUACGCCUUUUGACGGUUUGUUAUUUCCCAAUACGAAAGCGUCAGGGCGUUCCAAUGUCCCAACAUCAGAUAUUGAGUGCACUGUUGAUGUGGGAUGUAAAUUUUGUUUAUUCACUUGGUGUCUUACAGCUUGUUGUUGAGUCAUAUUUACUAAUUCAGAAUUUUUAUUAUUCUGUUUCCUUUGUCGUUUAGGGCGUUUAGUAGCCACGUCCUGAGUAAUGGCCUUACUUCUCCCCCUCUUCCCUUGAACCAGUUUCUGAGGUGGAAGAUGAAUAGUUUUAUUUGGUACCUCUAUUCUUUCAGGCAUAUUCCUAGCAGGAUGAUAGAAUUUAGUGACACCUUGAUAAUCAGUAAAUGCGUCUGGCAGAUUAUUUGCAAUAUUUUGCAAAUUUUGAUUUUCUGAACUUGGAGUUCAGAUUCUUGUGUACGUGGAUCAGUAGUGGAGAUGUCUUGUGCAUCCUAAUUUAUUUCCGGGCAUUCCUUUUGGUACUUGUAAUCUCCCCUAAUGCCAGGAAAUGAUCCUCAUUGAAGAUAUAGUCAGC
rnacentral:lncRNA from 1 species